rnacentral:rRNA from 1 species
AUGGAUGAGGUCACACAAGCCGUUGAAAACUUGAAAAAGGAAUGGAGCCAAGCAGUUGCACAGCUUGAGGUGUGCAUUGCUGCAAUUGAAUCUUGUGGGAAGAUGGGAAAAGGGACAGAAGAAGCAAUGUCUCUUCCUAGGUUGAACGGUUCUGCACAGGAUGCACUGCAAUUGCUCAAUGCACUGCAGUGCAGACUUGAUCUUCUGGCAGAGCAGCUACCCACUUUUGAAGAAGUUCAGUCUGGACAGGCAACCUUAGGGUCAUGGAAGGAACAAUAUCAGAGGCUGCGUGUGAGACUGAGGAGUGCUAACUUACAAGCAAAAGCGAACAUGGGAAAGGCUGCUCAAGAAGAGAGGGAGCUUCUUCUGGGAGGUGGAGAAGAGUCCACUAUCCGUAGGCGUAAUCUCCACCACAAGCACAUUUCUUGCCUAGAAGAAUGCAGAUAUGCUAACUCCAUUUUAUCGGGAAUUUCGGUAAGGACAAAGGCUGGGAUGACAUCUGCUGCAGAAAGUAUUACUGAGAGCCUCCGUAGGUCUCGGCAGUUGAUGGUUCAGGAAGUGGAAAGAAGCGCUAAUACCUUGUCAACUUUUGAUGAAUCGACAAGUGUUCUCCGAAAGGCUGAAGGUGAAUAUCAAGGACACCACUCUUUGCUGAUGCGCACCCGUGGUUUGCUCUCCACGAUGCAACGACAAGAUGUUCUUGAUAGGAUCAUCCUGACUGUUGGGUUCCUCAUAAUCUCCUUAGCAGUUCUGUAUGUUGUCUCGAGACGUAUUGGCCUGUUGACACUGCAAAGGAAGUUGGCUGAUGCAAUCAGAUCGGGCUCAGUAUGA